GGGUAGUGUGCUCGUCGCCAGUCACGCGCAGUGAAGGAAGUGAAGUGCACGCGUCCAUUCAAAUGAGCGGGAAGUUAUUUGAGUGGGUGGAAGACAUCUCUGUUUGAAGUUGAUGCGUCUGGAUGUGAUACAAGCAAGAUACAAGAUGUCUUGUGAGUUCCCGGCAAUACAGAUAACCACUGACAGACGCCAGCCAAUUUGCUGUCCCGCCGCACCAGAGCAAAGCAUUAGAAAUAUGGGCAGAGGAGUGACCCUUUGGCUGUGUCGCCCAUCCAUCCGAACCCGGUGGUGGGCUGGCCACCGUGGUAAUUGCCUGCGAAACAGUGUUUUGACAAGCCAGACGGGUGUAAGCCAUCAUUCUAGCAGCACGGUGAUGAGGUGUCACCUGGAGAGAGCUGUUGAGAGCCCACAUGUUUACAUGCAGCCAGUGUGGUUCCACUGAGACAGCAGUAAUCCAUUAAGAAGGGGGCUGAUCCUGCGAGGGGUUUGAUGAAGUUGAGGCUCCUCUGCCCCAUGCAGAAGGGCGUUUAGUGCUGCCGGCCUCACUGCUAGUGUGCAGGGAUAUAUCACCUGCGUACUCACAGUUUCAUCAUAGCUCUCCGUUCCUCUACUCUCCAAACAAUCUGCAGUGCUUCUGACUGGGUGACCAAUGGAAAGGCAAACUCUUUUUUUUUUUUGGUCCCCUCAAAAUAUAAUUGAGAAGAAUCUUUUAUACAUUGCAUUUAUACAAAGCUUAAAAAUGUGAUUAUGCUUCUUCAACUCCAUACGACUUCAUUAGAAACUUACACUACCAUGCAUGAUGGGAUUAUCAUGCAAGCUAUAAGUACAGCGUGUACGCCUGCUGCUUAUUAUUCAUAAUCAGGUAAUUCAUGUUAUUUUCCAUCCUCCUUCUGUUUUGCAUUUCCUUUCUUCCCUCUUCAUCUUCUCCUGUUUUCUCUGGCAGACAUAAUAUCAGCUAGAGGAGUGCUCUGUUUCAUGUCCUGAAGAAAGGCUUAGCUUACGUUUGAUUGAGGUCUCUCCCAUCUCACACGGGCGCUGUGUUUGCGGAUACGGUGCCAGAGAAGCAGAUGCAAGGGCCUAUUUGAUGGCGGCAAAUAAUAAAACGUAUCAUUUGCGUUUGCAGUUUCUCCUCCACUGUAUCAGGCGCACAGAUGCUACCGCACAGUUUUAUUUGCCAAAAAUCAUAUGGACUGUAGUUAAUGGAAUAGGGAGUGUUUGCCAUCCAAUUUUGAAAAGAGCUGAAGAGAAAAUAAAUCAAGCCAUGUUGUUCUCUGUUAUCUCGCUUUGGCUGAGAACGUCCACCGUAAGCACAAACUUGCUUCUUUUUAUCGUUUUACCAUUCAUCUGUCGGUUACCCCUUCAUCUCUCUAUUGAGUCAGACUGUUUUUGUUUUGCGGCAGUUGUGUUGUUGUCAUAUAGGUAUUGCCUAGAGGCCAUGAAAAAAAAAACCCAAUUUAAAUCCUCCUGGGCAAUGUUACAUCGUAGUUGUAUUUCUGAGGUGUUUACUUCCACUCUAAAAUCCUUUUGUAGGAGAGGAACGUAGGACUUGAAACAUUUGCAAAAAGUAGAAUGGCUCUGUGUUGCCAAGAUUAAGUAAGACUUUGAUUUCUGGAGCUCACCAGUGCCAGAAUUACUGUGCUGUUUUUUAAUAACGGCGGUUUGAGAGUGAAUAAGACUACAAGUCUCCUGGGAUUUGCUUGUCACAAUGUUGUUUGGGUUUGUGAAUUUUAUUGUCACACAAAUCCCCUUGUACGCACUUUUCUUUUGUCUGUAGUGUACUGACUGUACUUACACUCACUGAAACAUAAAAUGACAUUUCUUUCCUGCAGGGAGCAUCUUUCUGAUGAUAAAAACAUGACAGUGCAUUUAUUCAAACAUGUCUGUGUAGUGUGAUCGGUAAUCAAAUGUGACGACUUUGGUUGUGACUUUGGUUUUGAUUAUUUCAAUUUCUGUAAUGCUGAGACUGUCUGAGGUAACGUAGUUCAAUCUACCUGACUAUAGAGGAGCAGUUUCAUCCAGAUAUAAAAACAAGACUCACCCAGUCAAUGCAGAGAGAUGGAUAUUAGAUAAUCAUAUAAAAAAAAAUCUAAUAGAUCUGUAAAAUAAAGCAAAUGAGAGAAAAAAAAUUGUGUAUGCAAAAUUAUUCAUAUAUUUUUUUUUUAUUGUGUAGAUUUAUAUUAGAUUAUACAUUGCAUUUUAUACAGUCAUAAAAUCUAUUCUAAAAUCUAAUGUAUCUAUAAAGUUAAGGGUUAA